rnacentral:piRNA from 1 species
UAUUACAUCACAUUUCCUUGCACUUAGCC